rnacentral:rRNA from 1 species
ACUCUUGACNUCNNCAGAAUUCGGCAGAGAUGCCUUAGUGCCUUCGGGAACUGUGAGACAGGUGCUGCAUGGCUGUCGUCAGCUCGUGUUGUGAAAUGUUGGGUUAAGUCCCGCAACGAGCGCAACCCUUAUCCUUUGUUGCCAGCACGUAAUGGUGGGAACUCAAAGGAGACUGCCGGUGAUAAACCGGAGGAAGGUGGGGAUGACGUCAAGUCAUCAUGGCCCUUACGAGUAGGGCUACACACGUGCUACAAUGGCGUAUACAAAGAGAAGCGAACUCGCGAGAGCCAGCGGACCUCAUAAAGUACGUCGUAGUCCGGAUCGGAGUCUGCAACUCGACUCCGUGAAGUCGGAAUCGCUAGUAAUCGUAGAUCAGAAUGCUACGGUGAAUANGUUCCCGGGA